rnacentral:rRNA from 1 species
AACGAACGCUGGCGGCGUGCUUAACACAUGCAAGUGGAGCGACGAACCGGGCUUCGGCCCGGGGCAAAGCCGCGAACGGGUGAGUAACACGUGGGUAACCUGCCCCAAAGACCGGGACAACCCGAGGAAACUCGGGCUAAUACCGGAUGUGUUCACUGUCCACAAGGACAGUGAGGAAAGGAAGCUUCGGCCUCCGCUUUGGGAUGGGCCCGCGGCCCAUUAGCUUGUUGGUGAGGUAACGGCUCACCAAGGCUGCGAUGGGUAGCUGGUCUGAGAGGACGAUCAGCCAAACUGGGACUGAGACACGGCCCAGACUCCUACGGGAGGCAGCAGUGGGGAAUCUUGCGCAAUGCGCGACAGCGUGACUCAGCAACGCCGCGUGGGGGAAGAAGGCCUUCGGGUUGUAAACCGCUUUUGUCAGGGAAGAAACGCUCUGGGCUAAUACCCCGGGGUAAUGACGGUACCUGAAGAAUAAGCACCGGCUAACUACGUGCCAGCAGCCGCCGUAA